rfam:Emiliania huxleyi CCMP1516 EMIHTscaffold_929_Cont9185, whole genome shotgun sequence.
GCCGCCUUAGCUCAGUGGACAGAGCGCCGCUCUCCUAAAGCGGGGGUCGAGGGUUCGAACCCCUCAGGCGGUA